GUCUAUGGCCAAACCACCCUGAGCACACCCGUCAAUCUUGUCUGUCUCAGAAGCCGAGCAGGGUCAGGCUUGGUUGGUACUUGGAUGGGAGAAAGGAAGAAAUAGCUGUGAACC
rnacentral:rRNA from 1 species